rnacentral:rRNA from 1 species
GACGAACGCUGGCGGCGUGCCUAACACAUGCAAGUCGAGCGAGUGAAUCUCCUUCGGGAGUGAAGCUAGCGGCGGACGGGUGAGUAACACGUGGGCAACCUGCCUCAUAGAGGGGAAUAGCCUUUCGAAAGGAAGAUUAAUACCGCAUAAGAUUGUAGCUUCGCAUGAAGUAGCAAUUAAAGGAGCAAUCCGCUAUGAGAUGGGCCCGCGGCGCAUUAGCUAGUUGGUGAGGUAACGGCUCACCAAGGCGACGAUGCGUAGCCGACCUGAGAGGGUGAUCGGCCACAUUGGGACUGAGACACGGCCCAGACUCCUACGGGAGGCAGCAGUGGGGAAUAUUGCACAAUGGGGGAAACCCUGAUGCAGCAACGCCGCGCGAGUGAUGACGGCCUUCGGGUUGUAAAGCUCUGUCUUCAGGGACGAUAAUGACGGUACCUGAGGAGGAAGCCACGGCUAACUACGUGCCAGCAGCCGCAGUAA